rnacentral:rRNA from 1 species
UACAGAGGUCUCAAGCGUUGUUCGGAUUCAUUGGGCGUAAAGGGCGCGUAGGCGGGCUGCCAAGUCUGGGGUGAAAUCCUCCGGCUCAACCGGGGAAGGGCCUUGGAUACUGGCGGUCUGGAGGGAGGUAGGGGCGUGCGGAACUGUAGGUGGAGCGGUGAAAUGCGUUGAUAUCUACAGGAACUCCGGUGGCGAAGGCGGCACGCUGGACCUUUUCUGACGCUGAGGCGCGAAAGCCAGGGGAGCGAACGGG